UGAGGAGCGGUGUGACAGCGCCUCCGUGCCGGGGCUGGAGCCGGCGGGGAUGCAAAGUGGUUGUGGUGUCCUCAGGUCCUUUUUAGAAAUAGAUGUGCUCUGUCCCGUCGGCUCUAGGCGAGCAUAGCGCUGGGGGAGACUCGGGGCAGCCGAAUGCUGCUCAGAACAGUGUGAGGCCGUAGAUAAACAAGUGAAUUAUCAGGGUUCACUAUGAGGUGUCCUAAGGGGGCUCCUCUGUAGAAUAUCACUUUGUAGGAAGUUGUAUCAGACAAGCAGUGUCCUCUGAACUUCUGGCGGCUCAAACUGCAGUGUCUGAAGUGAGAAAAUUGACAGAGAAAGCCAACAAAAUGGAGAUUAGCAAAUGAGCACAGCCAGGCAGUAUUUACCAAAGUGUUCAAAAUUACCUAAGGGCAACUGUACUAUUAAUAUAGUAAUCUCACCCUUAUGUGAAAUGGCUUUGGUGCUAGAAGGCUGAUCUGUAGCAAAUGCGAUACCAGAGUGAACUUGAGAGAAAAAACCUGAUCUUUCCCAGGAAGACUGAUAAAAUUUAUAAUAAAAUAAUGGAAUUAAUGAGUAUAAGGAAACCUACAAGUAGAAAGAAGGAGCACAUCUUUUUCACAGGAGAACAAUGCUGCACAGCUUUAUUAUGCAAUUCACACAGUUCAGAAGCACAAGCAUUGCUGUGUGGUUGUAUAAAUUAGUGCUGUUCUGAAAUCUUCAGUGUACAAUCUUGGUUUGCUUCAUCUGAAAAAUAAUGCAGCUGAAAAGAAAAAACAAUAGAGAUUCAAAACAAGGACACUGCAUGUUUUCACUAUAAGAAGUAGCUAUUUAGACAAAGACUUGUCAGCCUGGAAAGGGAAUGGUGGAAGGCAGAUGUUCUAAAGUCUCUAAAAUCACGAGCACCUGGAGAAGUUGAACAUAGAGUGGUGUGUUCCCAAAGAGAACUAGCAGGCACCAAGUGAAACUAGCAGAUGGGGUCGUCUUGGAAGAGGCAUUUCCACAUUGUGCCUGAUCAGGCUGUGAAAGUGUGUUUGGAGUGUUGGCAAACCAUGUGGUUUAUAGAAGCAAAUUCAGCAAAUUAGUGAAAUUCAUUUUGGGUGUAUCAAAAACGUACAAAUGCAACUUUACCUCAGUAAAGCCCUGAAUUGCAGAUUGCUGGACUCUGAGGAGGUUACACAGCACUUUGCUAGGCAAUUAUGAAAUAUACUUACAGAGAUUCUCAACUGUGGCUCAAGGAAAAAGAUGUCCAGUCUUCAUGCAGUGUCUGUGAACACAAGUCUGAAGGCAAUUCCAAAAGCAGAGAUGCUGAGAUGGGAAGAAGUGCUUGGAGGAGGCUCAAACUUGCAUGUUGUCUUCAUGGAAGAAGCCCCAGAAAACAGCUCUGAUUGUCCAAAUCAACUAUCAUAAUCUCCUCUGAUGAAGUAGGCUCCUCAUUUUCUCAGCAACCCUAACAGUUCCUGUCUGUGCCUGUUUCAGUCUGAAUGUCGCUUUCUUAAGUAGCAUACAAAACUGUAGUGUUUCAGCUGCCAUGUACUGUGAUGUUAAUACCGAACUUCUAGAAAUACUUUACAUAAUUGGCCAUAGGAGCAUAUGUGCCAUUUCUCAGGGCCAUGUAAUAAUUCUGUGAUACACUCAUAUUUCCAGGUCAUGAGCUCUGACAUCAUAGCUGUUUAUUAGUUUCUACUUUCAUUGCAUUACAAUACAUGAGCUCAUCCAAUUGUUUUAAUAUUCUGGUCUGCUUCUGUUUUAAUAAAGCUUCUGUUCAGGCCACCUGCAAAUUUCAUUAGCACAUGCUUUCUUUAUUUCCAAGCUCAUAAUUAAAAUAGUAAGCAAGAUAAGAUUUUAACUGUAUCUAAGACUUAACUGAAGCUACAACUGGGUCUUAACAGCUCAUUCAGGAUCUCCAUUAGAGUCAUCUUUAGUUUUCUCUCUGUUGUGACCCAUCUUAUCCCAAUCUACCUUCCCCAUUUGUGAGAAGGAGGUAUAUGGUAGUAUGAUCUCAGGAAUAAUAAAUUUUGCAAUUGACAGUUUUUGUCCCCUCCCUAUGCCAUACAUUGCCCCUAAAUGCCUUUUCCUUUCUCCUAUCCUAGUUGGUAUGAAAGUCAGCAAAAUUGGUGCUGAUCAGUUAGCACCAGGAAGACAUCUUUGAGUGCAGGAAUGGCCACCUGCAGCUGGUUAGAACUGAAUUGUGAUGACACAGUAGAAUUACAGGCCAGGAAACCAGCUGAAAGUGGUGCUAAUAUAGCUCAAAAUUGAGGCUAUAAUAGUGAAAGGAACCUCUGACACUGCCAUUUUUCAUACCACAUAGUAAUCUGACACACAUGCUGGCAGUAGUUUGUGUUGAACUGUUGUAAAUAAGAUACAGGAGUCACACCUCAGUUGUCUCAGAGAUAUUACAGUCUCAUUGCUUCUCCACAAGCAGAAUGCCUCCUGAGAUUGCCAACAGUGGCUUGUUUGUUUUCCUGUUUUGCUCCUUUGACUGAUGCUUAAAAAGUCAUGUUUUAGCUUUCCACUUCUGUUCCACAGAACAAUGAAAGCUUUUCUGUUUUGUAGAAUAAUUCAAUCUAAACAGAGAAGUGGAAAUUCUUAUCUCAUAUUUUCCCUGUUUCUUUUUGUGUGUAUUAUGUGGAGUAUCAGUAUAUAUUAGUAAAACAAGUAAACAAAAAAUUAGAGGUUUUUUAACAGCCAAAGAAUCUUUGUAAGCAAUAUUGUAAAAAAAUGUUGCAUAAGCUUGUCAGAUGGAUAUGUAUUUAUCAUUGUCAAAAAACUUUGCUGAUAGUCUCAUUUGUGUUUGACGGAAUAUGGAAAAAAUUAUGAAAAACAUCUAUUUCUUGUCACAAAUGAAGUGUAAUAUUAUGAAUCAUAUAGUCUUACAAAAUUAUUGAAUGUUCUCAUCAAUGAGAUGACCGUUCAUUUUCUAAUACUGAUGUUCAUGAUCAAGAGAAUGACAUGUUCUGAGUACGAGGUCUUCAGGAAAGGAAAAACUAGUUAAUUUUUUUUUCUUUCAACUGAGGCAGUGACACCAGUUUUAUUUUCCUUUCUACCCUGUAAUUUAAGAAAUUACUCCUUUUAGAUCCACAGCUAAUCUGCUGACACAGCACUAGCUUUAUUUUGAGUUUGUGAAAUGCUGAUAAUAGGAUAGAAACCUACCCUUCUAAGUUUUAACUCAGUAAGACAAUGUCUUUGGCAUACUAUGACCCCAAAGGCCUAUCAGGAAAGAAAAACACAGCACCAUGCUGAAAAAUAACAGCCCAUCAUGUAAUUGAGAGCUUGACUCAACAACAUACUAAUAGGCAGGUGUCCGUGUUUUUCAUGCGGGUGCGGAAGACUCAUGCAUCUCUAAACAGUUUUCACUGCCUGCAGUUCAGACUGUGACUGCAGCUGUGAAGGGGUGGGAAAGCCAGUUCAUUUGACCUCUGUACUAAAAUUCUGUGCUGAAGGUUUGUGAUUUUCCCAAGCAAUGCAGAACUGGACUAUGGAACACAGACUUCUUGCUUUUCAUGCAACUCUUUGUGGAGAUGCAGAUCCGGAAUAUGGAAGAUGGCAUUAAGGACGAGUAUCCAAAAUGCUUCAUGAUCCUAUUCUUGCUUGGAAAAGCAGCCCGAAAGAUAUAGCUUAAAAACACUGCCCCAUCGUGUGUGUUCAGGCAGGUCUUGGUGAUACAUAUGAGAGCAAUUUAAGAGGUUUCCACCUCCUGCUGUGUAUUCCACUAUGUGAGUCUCAGGAAAAAUGAUGGCAGGGUAAAUGUGGAGUUCAGGCUGUGAACUGAGACAGGAAAGGUGCCGAUUCACAUUUGCUGCAGCUGACUCAGCUCCUGAAGCAGUGCACAUAGCAAAGAGAAAAAUGGUAAGUGUGAAGCUCCUGACAUGAACGACCAAAGAUCAUCUGAAGGUAUCUAGAGCACUUUACUUGCCAAUUAGAGCUUCUGACAUGUCUUAUGGAUGAAGUGGUACAUACAGGACAGGAGCCCUCUGGUACUGUCUCUUCAGGAAUAGAACCAAAAUAAGGAAUGCUACCAUACACAUAACUAUACUUUGCCUGCAUCCUGUCAGCAGAUCUUAUCUCCCAAGUUAUGUCAGGUAUAGUAGAGUUCAGGUUCAGAGAAGUGUCACUGAUGUGGUCAAAAGUAUGCAAUAGAUUCUAUAUGGCUAAAUGCGCCUCCAAAUGUACUGGAAAACAGUCAGCUGAGGGGGGGGGGGAUAAAAUAGGGGUGUACAGAAUGAUGAGUGGCCUAGAGAGGGCAAUUGAGGAGUUCAGUCUCUGUUCCCAAUAAAGUAAGGGCAUCAAAAUAAAUUAGCAGAAGGCAGAUUUGGAAGAAACAAGAAAAAAUUUGUUCCUUUUCUAUGCAAGAGGAACUUAAACUGUAGAACUUCUGGCAGCCGGGUGUUGUGUAUGACAAAAGUGGACACAGAAUUCACAUGGAGGCUGGAAGGAAAAUAUACUGGGGGCUACUAAAUAUUAAAUAUCACAACUAUGCCUAGUUCAGGAAAUCUUGAAGCCUUAGAUAGGUUGAGACUCUAUCUGAGGCAGGUUACUGGGUUAGGUAAACUCUGACCUAGAGUAUAUAUUUUUAUGUUUCUUAAGUUCCAAUUUGUGCGAGUCUUGAUGCUGUAAGAAAGGAAUCCAUUAAGUUUGUUAAUGACCCCAACUGGGGGUGGCAAGUUAAUACCUGUGAGGGUAGGAGUAUUCAGAAAGAUCUGAAUGGACUGAUGGGAACCUUGCUGAAUUCAGCAAGGAUAUAUCCAAAGUCCUACACCUGGUGAGGAAGGACCCCUGGCAAUAAUACAGACUGUUUUGCAUUCUUCCUGUACAAGAAAGACAUAGGUAAACUGGGGCAAGUUCAGUGAAGAGCCAUCAGGAUUGGUGGAGCAUGUGUCCUGCGCUGGGACCAGUGUAUGCUGCUGUGGAGCUUCAAACUCGCAGCAGUCCCUGGCAUCUAUAACCUUGUGCUGCACAUCAGGCCAGUGUUCUAAAGGUGCAACAGAACCACCUGGAGCAAAACCACCUGCAACUUGAUCUUUUAGAGAAGAACAGAUCAGCACCGGGAAUGCUGUCUUCCAGGAUGUUAUAGAACACUUAGUUUUUAGUGCAUUAAGUAUUUAUAGACUGUACCCAUAGAGUCAGCUGGAGUUGUAAUUGUAAUAAAAUGAUAGGUCUGGAAA